AACGAGCAGCAGAGCCGCCCAGCAGCGACCACAUUAGGAAGGAGUCAGAAACCAACACUCCGCUGGCUGUCACCCCUUACCCACUUGCUGUCAGACCACAGCCUGAGGCAGCCAAACCCAUUUCCUUGGGGAUCCAGCGCAAACCAGACAGUGUGGACAGGCCGAUGGAAGAAUGUUGGACCAGCUUUAAGAAUGGGCUGUUCUAAGUCAUGAAUAUUGUAGGAAGCAGCUCUAAGGACCACAGGGCUGGAGGGUGCACAGGAAGGGGCCAGUGCAUACAGGUGUCCAAACAGUGUCAUCCGGUGUCCUGACAUGGGGCCCCAAUGGACUGACCCAGGGUGGAAAGGAAGAGUGAGAAGAAAUCAGACAGAAGAAUUCAGGAGAUGUGGCAACAGAGUGGAUGUAGCAGAAGGGACACAGAGAGUGCCUAAAGAUGAGUCUUUGGUCAGCAUGUGAUGAAAAGAAUGAAGACAUUGGGGAAGUGGGGAGCAGAAGCGGAUGUGGGCCCAGGAGGAAGAGGGUAGGUUUGGACUGGGGCAUGCUGAGGUCAGUAGCAACAUCAAAGUCCUGAGCACCCUCAUAUUGUUGCAGAUUCCAGACAGCAGAGAUGGCAAAAAGAUGCAUGGAAGAGAGACACAGCAGGGUCGGGUUCUGGCCUCAGGAGCCAAGGGGGAAGUGCCUGAGAAGGAGACCCCCAAAUGAGGCCUGUGUCAAUGAGGUCUGUAGGGGACUGGUUUCCAUGUAUGCCAGGCCAUACUCCCUGGAUUCCCAGCAUUAAGAAGACCAAACACUUCUACACAUUUAUUACUGAAGUCCCCUGCAAGCUGAAGGCGGAGGAAGUCGCCAAUCUCCUAAGCCGUGUGUGGCUGAGGCAGUUGUCAGAGCUGUGACGAGGGAAAUGUUCAUUAUUCUUCUAUCCCUCACUUGGCCAAAUAAAGAACUUCUUAGAAUUCUUCCCCUGUGACAAAACGGGGCUGUGAUUCGGAAAGCCUCAGGCAAGUUUGCUAGGGCCGCGGUAACCAAGCACCACAGACUGGGUGGCUUCAAGACUGGACGGCUUCAACAGAAAGUUAUUGUUGCUCAAUUCUGGAAGCCAGAAGUCCAAAAUCAAGGUACUUGCAGGGUUAGUUCGAUCUGAGGGCUGCGAGGGAAGGAUCUGUUGUAGACCUCUCUCCUAGGUUUGCAGGCCUUGGUCCUGAUGUUCACAGGGCAUCCUUCCUGUGCCUUCACAUCAUCUUCUCUCUGAAUGUAUCUCUGGGUCCAAAUUUCCCUAUUUUAAAAUAAGGAAAUCAGUCCUAUUGGGUUAGCACUCCACCCCUCACUUUAACUUGAUUACCUCUGUAAAGACCCUACUUCCAAAUAAGAUCACAUUCUGGGUACUGAGGGCUAGGACCUCAAUAUCUGAAUUCAGGGUGGGUGGAUGCACAAUUCAUUCCAUAACAUUAAGAAGGAAGGGAUAAGUGCCCAAGGAAUCACACGCUCGCUUGGGGAGAGUUCCAAGCAUGCAGAGCUGGUGGUCAUAGCUUAGCCUCAGGCCUUUGGAAAUCCCCUGAAUCUGGUUUUCCCAGUUCUCAUAAUCUCAUUUCACCAAAAUACGGCAUCUCAAUACAUUCCAUGCAUUUCUGGUGACAAGCUCAUUCUGGUGCACGCUAAGCAAUGUGCUAACUACGUCUUAACUAGGGUGGUUUAACUGGUUUGGUUAACAUAGAUCUCUGAGUCAUUUCACCCAUUCCUUAAGCCUAAACAAAUCUCAUCCAGGUGUUUAAGACAUUGCACAAUAUUAGACCAUCUGAAGCUCCAUCUCCUUGGGGCAAUGAUGAUGAUGGUGAUGAAAGUGGCUGGUGACUGUUCUCAGUCUCAUCGCCAUAAUGGAACCCUAUGUUGUGUUCCUCCACACUGGUGUGAGGGACACUACUAAGUGCGGCAGAGUUUGCACUCAGGAUAGAGAAAUAUGGACUCAUGCACAGAUUCCAGCUGAGUCCCUCCGAUGUGCUAGGUACUAUGUCCAGCCCCCCAGGAUUCACCUGUAAGCAGGACAGUCUUUUGGGUGACAGAGGGAAUUCUCAUAUAUCCACAGGCAGAUGGAAUUUACAAGUGGAAAGACCUAGAAGUUCAGAGACAGGGGGACUGAACUUUUUGCUUUCAGUUAGAAUCUUUGCUUAUGGUUGUGCAAAUGCUUGCAUUGGUGGGUUUCCAUGCCAUAUAACGUGCUACAUAUUUUUACAUUACCCUUGCACAUAAGCAUACUGUUGGGAGGGAAAAUGAAGAGGGUGGAGGUGGUAACAAACUCAAGCUAAGGAAAUGGGAUUUGGAUGGGUACAAAGUCCAGAGAAUUAGCUUGAGGAAAAUGAACCAGGAUUCACACAGGAGUUUUCAAACAUCUCAAUAUCAGGACCCCUUUAUCCUCUUAAAACUUACUUCAUGAGGACCUUAAAGAGCUUUUGUUUGUGUGACUUACAUGUAUUAAUAUUUACUAUAUUAGAAAUUAAAAGUAAGAAAUGGUUGU
rnacentral:antisense_RNA from 1 species